rnacentral:ncRNA from 2 species
AGAGUUAAACAGUGCGUGAAAUUGUUGAAAGGGAAACGUUUGACACCAGUCAUGUGGGUGGAAAAUCAGUCUUUUGCAUUGGGGAGUUGUAAGGGUUCGGACCGCAAGGCCGGCUUUUGCUUCAUCUUUGGUGUAAGUGAUGCACUUUUUCAUCUACAGGUCAACAUCAGUUUCUUUUGCUGGACAAAACUCCGAGAGAAGGUAGCAGCUUUGGCUGUGUUAUAGCUCUGGGGCGAUACAGUGGAGGGGACUGAGGUUUUCGCAGUGUGUGCUUUCGGGCAAGGCUGACCGGGUGCUAUGGGAUCGUUCAGUGUACAAUGCAUGCAUUUUGCGCUGUGUCUUUUUCAUACUCGCCUGGCUCGGUUCUUCCACACUUAGGAUGUUGACUUAAUGGUUUUAAACGACC